GACGAACGCUGGCGGCGUGCCUAAUACAUGCAAGUAGAACGCUGAAGAGAGGAGCUUGCUCUUCUUGGAUGAGUUGCGAACGGGUGAGUAACGCGUAGGUAACCUGCCUUGUAGCGGGGGAUAACUAUUGGAAACGAUAGCUAAUACCGCAUAACAAUGGAUGACACAUGUCAUUUAUUUGAAAGGGGCAAUUGCUCCACUACAAGAUGGACCUGCGUUGUAUUAGCUAGUAGGUGAGGUAAUGGCUCACCUAGGCGACGAUACAUAGCCGACCUGAGAGGGUGAUCGGCCACACUGGGACUGAGACACGGCCCAGACUCCUACGGGAGGCAGCAGUAGGGAAUCGUCGGCAAUGGGGGCAACCCUGACCGAGCAACGCCGCGUGAGUGAAGAAGGUUGUCGGAUCGUAAAGCUCGGUUGUAAGUCAAGAACGGGUGUGAGAGUGGAAAGUUCACACUGUGACGGUAGCUUACCAGAAAGGGACGGCUAACUACGUG
rnacentral:rRNA from 1 species